UACGGGGGGGGCAAGCGUUGUUCGGAAUUACUGGGCGUAAAGGGCUCGUAGGUGGCCAACUAAGUCAGACGUGAAAUCCCUCGGCUUAACCGGGGAACUGCGUCUGAUACUGGAUGGCUUGAGUUCGGGAGAGGGAUGCGGAAUUCCAGGUGUAGCGGUGAAAUGCGUAGAUAUCAUUCGGAACACCGAAAGCGAAGGCAGAGCACUGGGUGCCACCUGACACUGCUAGGACGAAAGCGUGGGGAGCGAAUGGG
rnacentral:rRNA from 1 species